rnacentral:rRNA from 1 species
UUUGUUACUUCAAACCAAUCGGACUUCGGUCUGACAUCAAGUGAUAUUGAACAAUUUAGCUGAUCGCACGGCCUAAGAACCGGCGACAUAUCCUUCAAAUGUCUGCCUUAUCAACUUUCGAUGGUAGAUUAUGCGCCUACCAUGGUUGUAACGGGUAACGGAGAAUCAGGGUUUGAUUCCGGAGAGGGAGCCUGAGAAACGGCUACCACAUCCAAGGAAGGCAGCAGGCACGCAAAUUACCCACUCCCGGCACGGGGAGGUAGUGACGAAAAAUAACAAGCUGGUCUCAAUGAGUUCCAGCAUUGUAAUGGGAACAAUUUAAAUCUUUAAUCGAGGAUCUAUUGGAGGGCAAGUCUGGUGCCAGCAGCCGCGGUAAUUCCAGCUCCAAUAGCGUAUAUUAAAGUUGUUGCGGUUAAAAAGCUCGUAGUUGGAUCUAGGAUUAGGGCUACGGUCGUUCAGCUUGGACGUACUGUAUGCCCGACUCCUUUUCUCUAGUAUUCGAUUGUUGCUCUUAAAUGAGUGACUUUAGUUGCUGGAACUUUUACCUUGAAAAAAUUGAAGUGCUCAAAGCAGGUU